rnacentral:tRNA from 1 species
GCACCUGUGGCCGAGUGGUUAAGGCGCGGCCCUGCUAAGGCCGUGGGGUCUCCCCGCGGGCGUUCGAAUCGCAUCGGGUGCG